GUUAGUUUCGAAUUUCCAAGAUUUCUGUUUAAAAAAAUAACAAACACUAUCUGAAUAAUUUUUCACUGAAAAUACAAUUUUUUUUAUAUCAAAACAAGUUUUAUCAAUGAAGAAUUCGAACUUUUUACGUCAUCAAUUAAAUUGGACUAAUAUUACAAUAACAUCGGGAUCGAAGUCGGGCUCGAUGAACAAUUAAUUUUAACAACACCGAAAUUCAAAAAUAUCGAAUACCUGUAAAUACCAUGUUGAUGUUCCACAGUAGGAAAGUUGGAAUGAGUGUCACGAACAGGGGGAUCAUGGUCAGCUUGGGAUGGAAGAAGAUGACGACAUUUUUAAGACCGGUAGGUACAAUAUUGUACAGUAUUUUAUGUGUCCUCGAACGAAGAAUGUUUCUGCUAUUUUUGAUUAAUCCGGGCACCAUACAUAAAAUGCCCGACGGUGAAAUCGUUAGGACAAGCACUAUUUCUGUAAUCAUUAUUUAACAAAUCUAUACAUAUCAUUAAGGUCAUUGAUUUUAACCCGAAUUUCCUUGCUUGGAAUCGAACUGAUGUAAAGAAUUUUACCUGUACCUUCCUUUGUUCAAGAUAACAUUUACAGAGUAUGAUGUACAUGUAAUUAAUUAUAUAUUUUGUAAUGCAUGUUCAUGACCAUUUUCAGCUCUUAUCUUGCAUGUUUCGAUUGUUUUAAUAGUUGCUGCAUUGCCUGAGAUGAUUUUCACAGCCCUAGCCUUUGAUAAAAGUGCAUAUACAUGUAGAUGCUUAACCAAUCAGUCACUAGGCUUGUGAAUAUGGAAUCCGGAUGCUCACAAGAGGUAGGACAAGAACUGUGUAAAAAAAUGAAAUUGUGCAAGGGAAGUUUGAAGUGUCUGUUUGAAUGAUCAACAUCGAACUUGCUGAGCCUUCGUACUAAAAGUGAAUCCGUUGGUGAUGCCAAAUAUCUGUCAACCCUCUAUUGCAAAUUUCAUGGGAUAUCUGUGAGGAUGUGAUUCUAGCAACAUGUCAGAAGUUUUGUAUCUUCCAUAAUUGGGAUCUUUGGCACGUACAUUGGUGGAAAAUAGCAACUGUUCAUUUUUAUGGGAUCUUUGUAUCAAUGUAGUUGUAUACUACAUAUAUUUUUGCAUUUAAUACAUGUGUUUGUCACUCUAGUCACUAAUUUUGUACAGUAAAUGUACAUGGGCCACUGGCACUUUAUUGUAAAUGUAUAUCCUCGGCUGUUGAGGUUUCAAUGACCUCUCCCAAUCCUUGGCCAAUGUCAUUUAAUGAA